GGCUCCUUGAUACGGGAGAGGGGAGGGGGAAGGGUCUAGGGACGCGGGGCGGGGGUGGGGGGGGGGAGCCACCCCACACCUCGGGCUGUGAUGCUCUGUGGGGAGCAUCCGUCCGGGAGUUGGGGUGGGGGUGCUUCUCCAAAAACACCUCUCUGCCCCCCAAGUAUUCGUGUUCCCUGGUUAGAAGCAAUGCCCAGGAGUAUCCACAUGCAAUGCCAGGACCCCUCACCCUCUCCUUGGGGGGGGUCUCAGGCUGGUGGGGAGGGGGGCAGCCUGAGCCUCCCUCCCCUCCCCCUUUGUUAGGGGCAGGAGCAACAUUGGAAGCAUGUUCCCAGCCCGGGGGUGGGGGUGUGAUACCAAGUGGGUGAUGCUCGGUGGUGCUUAGGCAGCCUGGUUCUUGCUGGGCACCGCCUGGCAGCCCCCUCCCCGCAUUAAUAGAGGCUGAUGCGCGGCUUGUUCGUUUGUAAAUGUAUUUGUUUCGUUCCAGAAACUUCAUCCAGAAUAGGGCUGGAGCCAGGUAAAUGGAUUCUUGCCUCAUUUGCAGUCCUCCCCGGAAGGAAAUGCAGCCAAAAUGCUGCUUUACUUGCUUUAAAAACCAUUCCCACCCCCCUCCAGCUGAUUUUAGGUAGGGGGCUAGAGGAGGGGCUGAGGGCAGCAUCCGCCUAAGGGGAGCUCAGCACAGCCCUUCCCCUGCAGAGAGGGACCCUGGCAGAUGGUGCCCGGGCACCUCUCAGGAGCCAUUUUCUCUCCCUCAUUGUCUCGCCGCCCUUUGUGUGUGUGCAGCCAGGGGCACCCUGCCCAGGCAGCCAGCAGGGGCUGAUUUUCAGCCCCUUCUAGGAUUUCUGGAAGCAGUUCCCCUCCCCUCACCUUCUCCCAGGGCUUCCCAGUCUGCCCAGUCCUCAGAGCUGCAGACAAAAGGAAUCAGCUCCGGCUGCUGCAGCAGCACCGGAGCCUGGGGCUGCGUUGGGUGGCACAGAGAUGAGCAGGGCAGAGGGCAGGGAUGCGUUGAUCACUCUGCCAGGACCUGGGGGGGAGUGUCGGGGGUGCCCAGAUGCAAGCAUCUUCAGCAUCACCUCUCUAGGCAAGGGCAGCAAGGCUGUGCACGGGCAGCUCACCCUCUGCCCUCCCUAGGCAAGGGCAGCAAGGCUGUGCACGGGCAGCUCACCCUCUGCCCUCCCUAGGCAAGGGCAGCAAGGCUGUGCAUGGGCAGCUCACCCUCUGCCCUCCCUAGGCAAGGGCAGCAAGGCUGUGCAUGGGCAGCUCACCCUCUGCCCUCCCCUCCCCAGGCAAGGGCAGCAAGGCUGUGCAUGGGCAGCUCACCCUCUGCCCUCAUCACCCUAGGCAAGGGCAGCAAGGCUGUGCAUGGGCAGCUCACCCUCUGCCCUCCCCUCCCCAGGCAAGGGCAGCAAGGCUGUGCAUGGGCAGCUCACCCUCUGCCCUCCCCUCCCUAGAUAAGGGCAGCAAGGCUGUGAAUGGGCAACUCACCCUCUGCCCUCCCUAGGCAAGGGCAGCAAGGCUGUGCAUGGGCAGCUCACCCUCUGCCCUCCCUGCAGCAGAGCUUCUACUUCCCUCCAUCCUCAUCCUCACUUGAGGAAGGAAGGGGUGGGGGGCAGGGGUUUGGCCCCACUUAAUUCGGAUGCUCAGCCACAGGGACACUGUGCAUGCCACCAGCCCAGUGUGGCACCAUUGGCUCGAGCUCAGGGCUGGCACAAAGCAAGUGUUUGGUCCAGCACUGCCGACAUAAAGUUGUUUUUAUCCCCAGCCCACCCUGGGAUGUGCUUCAUUGCUGAAUGAGUGAAGCCAUCCUGCAGCAGCCACCUCCUUCUUUGCCCCACCACAGGCACUCCUUGCUGGGAUCCAGGCAGGGAACCCAUUUGCCAGGUGCCAGAUGGCACCUCCAGGUGCCCAAGCCCGGCUCCUGCUGCCCAGCUGAUUAGCAAAGGCUGCAUUGGAUGUUCUGUUGCCACGGGAGAGACUGUCCUGGUGUGGUGGUGACAAUGAACCUCGGGAAGCAGCAGCAGCUGAACUGCAGAGUCAUCAUGGCCUAGCUUCCCCCUGGGACCUGCUGCUGCUGGGGCUGUGCCAGGGCAGGAGGAGGGCAGAGGCUGGCUGCUGAUGCCAGCUGUGUGUGCACACAUCCCUGCAGAGGUGGAGUGAGGUCCAGCAGAGAGUGGCCAUGGCCACUGGUCACACCUAAAGGCCCAGAAGCACCCAGUUUAGCCACAGGGCACUUGCAGAGGUGGCAAUGGUAGAGGGGGCAGAGGCAGGGGCAGUGGCAGAGGCAGGUGCAGUGGCACUGGCAGACCCUGUCCCUAGUGCAGGCAGUUCCAGCAGCACACAAGCACCGUCUGGGGCACUGUCACCAUUUCUGGUAUGGUCCAUGCCAGUGCCCCCCUGUGCUUGGUGGCAGGUCUGGCUUGCCCCUGCUCUGCAAGGGGACAGCCACAGGAGGGAGAGGUGGCAUCUCUUUGGGCAUUGGGUGUCCCUGAGCAGGCAGCAGGCAGUUGAGCAGACCCACAGAGGGGCUGAGUGUGAGUCCCUGUGGGCAGCAUGUGCUGGAGCCUGCCCACCUCCACCCUGAUGCCUCUGCCUGCUGCUGCCUGCAGCAGAGCCUGGCACCAGCUGUCUGAAGCUGCAGGAGCACCUGAGAGCCAUGGGGAGACACCCAUGGGGCAAGGAGCUCACCUGCUGGGCAAUGCCAUGCUGCCCUGAGGUCAUGCCAGGACAGGGCUGUGAGUUUGCCUGAGCUGAGAGGACACUUGGGUUGGUGCCCACUGCCUACUGGGCAGGCUGGAUGCUGGCACAGCAUCUCCCCCUGCAGAGGUUUUGCAUCUCCAUCCCACAGGAUUUGGCUUCUUUCCUUUGCCCCCAGCUUUGAGCAGUGCCCAAUCACCCUGUGGGGAGCAGGAGCGGUGCCAGCAGCGGUGCCAGCAGCGAUGCAGCUCAGAGCAGAGGCUGCUCCCCAGGGGGCUUUGAUCCUGCAGGGGUAGGGAGAGGCUGGGAGGGUGGGAGAGCCCGGGAGGAGGGGGGAGGGCUCUGCCCUGCCAUCCUGCCAGGCUCCCAGCAGGGUUGUGCCCGGGGGGGGCAGGGUUGUGCCCGGGGGGCGCUGGCACUGUUCUCUCCCUUGCUGCGUUGGUUGCUUUCUUUUGCAGCUGCUAAUGACUGACCUGAGGUCUGUUCACACACAGUCCCCUGCGCAGGAGGAGCAGUCAGACAGGACGGGGGGGGGGACAUUGCAUGGCACCUGCAGAGCCGGUGACCACAGUGCCACCAGCCCCGGGGGCACAGCCCCAGCUCCUGCCUGGCCAGAAGGGCCGCACCUGGAGGGGAUCCCGGGCUCGGGGAGCUGCCGUUGCCACCUCGGCGUGGAUGCCAUCACCAGGCUGGCCCCAGCAGAGCAAGCCAGUGCCAGCUGCCGUGGGCUGGCACCACGAGCCCGGCCGCUGAGGGGGACCCGGCCGAAGAGCUGGCAGUGGUGACACCUGGGGACAGGGCUCUGCGUGUGUGCCUGGUUUGCCACAAGGUGCUGGGGUCUCCUUCCCUCCUGCUGCUCCAUCCCAGCUCCAUCCCAGGCUGUGGGUUUUGCCACCUCCUCCCCCCCUACCCCGCAAUGGGCAGGGCGUGGGCAGGAUGAGACCUGUGCCCUUCACUGAGUGCAGUGGGGGAAGGAGAUGAGAUAGGGGUGAAGAUGGGCAGAGCUGUGCCAGCUCCUCGAGGAAACACGAUGGCCAGAGCCCAGAGGGACCCUGCCUGUCCCUAGGGACCCUGCCUCUGUCUGCCAGCAAAGCCCCAGUGCUUCCUGCUCUGGCAGUGCCCGGCGCUGCGGGUGCCACCGCAGGACCCAGCCUCUGGUUUGUGGGGCAGGCUGGGACACAGGGAGGGACAGGUACGGAGGGCAGCACAUCCUCCCCACCAGGAGCCUGUAGUGUGGCUUCUCUGGGGCUGUUUGGGGCUGACAGCUACCCCAUGAGUGUCACCAUCACUGGCAGCGACCCCCUAAGUGCCACCAUCACCCCACUGUGUGCUCCAGCAGAAGGACAGAUGGGGCACAGCUCCUGGCAGGGGCUCUGGCCCCUUUUUUGCAACCCCCAAAUGCAGAAGCAUCCUCGUGGGGACCAGAGGGACUCAGUGCUGUGGGAGAAGGUGGCUCAGAGGAACAUAGGGCAGAAGGUGACCUCAGUGCUCCUCCCAGUUCUAUUUCUGGGGGUGUAUGGUGCAGAGACGCUGCUCCUGGCACCCCUUGGCAUCAGCCCUGAGGAGAGGCAGUUUCUGAUGGGGAGGGGAUAAGCCACUGGCACCUUUCCUCUGCUCCAGGCCGUGGUUCCCCCAGCCAGAUCCUCCUCCCUCCACAGGCAGUGGAAGCUCGGUGGAGCCCCAGAGCAAUUCUCCAGGCCACAGCCUUGCCCUGGGCACUGCCAGCCCUGCCUUCACCCCUCUCUGCUUCCUCCAGCUCCUUUAUCACCCUGACCCUGCGGCGGUGCUGAGUCACAGACUGGCACUGCCAGGGUUGUCUUCACCAGUCAGAGGGGCAAGAAAUGUGUUGGGUGUGGGCACAGGCUGCUCAGGGUGGUUUGAACCUCCCCCCCCCCCCCCUGCCCGGGGUGGUAAGGGCAGAGCUUUGCCAAGCGUUACCCCAGGAAGCAGCUCACAUUGCACAGGGUAAACUCAGACCCUCCACUAACUCCUUCCCAAACCUCAAUCCAGUGGGAAAGCCCCAAACCUCCUCCUGCUGCUGUGGGCUGGAUCCCACUGCCUCUCCCGGAGCCAGGCAGACCCCUCCCCAGGGUUCCUCUGCGGUGCUGGGGUGGGGGUGGGGGGGACUGACUGGGAUGGGCUCUGCAUGCUGCGCUGCGCUCCAGUAUUAACCCACUAACCUGCUGGGCCCCUGCUGCCCACCGUGCCAGGGGUGCCAGGGCUGCCCCUGGCAAAUGGACUAACCCACUAACCCCAGCUCCAGCGCAUGCCCUACUAACUGGCCUUGUUUGCCCCUCCCCAACCCCCCCACUAACCGUGGGCAGCCCACGCUGCCCUUAAAGGGGAACAGAAAAGCUGGGUAAGUACCUUUGCAAGUGCCAGGGGUCGGUGCCAGGCUGCACGGGCAGAGCUCAAGCCCCUCAGAGGGCAGCAGAGAUGGCUGGCAGCCCCUAGCCAGGUGGGCAGCCUACCCUGGACAGCACAAAGAGGGAAGGGGUUUCUCCCUGCGUGCCAUGCCCGGGUCUGCCCCUGGAGCCUGUUGCUGACUAGGAGCCUAAAACGGUUUUAUCAGCAGAAGCUUUUCAGUUCCUUUUUAAGCCUGGGGAUCUCUAACACAUUCCUGAACUGAAUUAAACCAACUAACCCUGGCUGCUUUUCUCUUGGUUUCUCUUCCAGCGGGUCUGCCCUCUCAGCCAGAUGGGUUGUGCCAUGCUUCUGCUACUAACCAACCUCUACUAACCACUCCUGACUUGUCUCCUCGCUACUAACCAGUCCUCUCUGCACUUUAACUCUGCGGGUGCUGCCUGCCCUGACCACGAACAGGGGCUUCCCCUGGGGCUCUGGGCUCUUAACCCUCAGCAGAUCACAGAAUUGGUUGGCAAAGACCUCUAAGAUGGUUGAGUCCGACCCUCUUCAGCCUUGCUGAGCAUCUUCAUCUCCCAUUCUGCUGUGAUGGGGAGGAAGAUGCUGAUGGGCUUUGAAAGUUUUUCCCUCUUGGCCUUCCAUUUUCCAAGGAAUUUCGUGUGGCUCAAUGAGGAAAAGAGGCUGAGUGGAAGGAGGAUGAUAACCAGUGGGAAAACUUAGUGACAAUUGGCAAUGGCCACAGAUGGUCCCAGCAAAACCAAUCCCACCCAAAAGUGAUGCUGCUGCCACGAGCCCCACUGGAACCCGAGGCUCUCCUGGAGGCCCCCAGUUCACCCAUCACGGGGAAUGGUCUGGUGCAGGGAUGCUCCUGGGCUUCUCUCUUCACCCCUUUUGUCUCUCCACAGUCCGUGAUGUGUCUCUGGUGCAUGCAGGAGCCGCGGCGGCAGCGUGACCCCGACUAACCGCACGGCACCCAGGGCUGCCUCUAACCGCCGGCUCGGGGCUUGCAGGGUGGGUGUCCCCCUCCAACCAUCACCCUGGCAGGCAGGCAGGCAGGGGCAGCAGGCACUGGAGGUGCUGGGGCACAGCCUGUGCUUGGCUUUCUGCCCCACUCUUGGUUUGGAUGAACAUCAGCAGUCUCUCCGUGGGGUCUGCCAGCAGGGAGGCGCCAGGAUCUGGUCUGCCUCUUUGGGUUUGGGUGCAGGCUCGUGAUCCCUGGUAAGGUCCCUCACCACUGAGUGCUGGUUGGCACAGUGGCUGUGCUGUGAUGAUCAGUGGGGCACAACCAAGCUCUGGGCACCAGAAGAGGGUGGUGGCCCUGUGCUGCUAGCUGGGACUGGGGCUGGCUCAUGAGGACGUGGCAGACUGCGUUAAUGUGUGGGGGUGUCACAGCAGUGGGGUUGCCUCCAGCAAGGGUCAGGGCACCUCUAUCUGGGGGUUGUAUGGAUCCAGCCAGCAUCCAGCUCCAACUCCUCUCUCUUCUUCUGUCCUUGGUGGUUCUGGCUUGUGCUCAGCCACCCUGCAGUGAGGACCUCCUCAGAUGACUCCAUCUCACUGGAUGGCUUCAGCCAUCUGCUCUGUUGCCUGCUGCUGAAGGCAGAGCUGGGCUGGGGUCUGCUGGGUAGCCAGAUUCAUCCAGUGGUGGUGCCCACCUCACCUUGGCAUUCUGGUCCCCGUGGGCCACAGCCUGACAUCCUUCAGCUGGGGCAGGUCUCCCUGGACUGUCAGUUGCUGGAGCUUCUCUCUCCACCCAGCUCAGUGGCUGCUCAACCUCCACCCUAAGCCACUGACCAUGAUCCUCCUUUUGUCCUACACUGCUGGGACCCUUUGGUGGGGCCAGGUCACCAGCACCAUUCUUGAGCAAAGAGGGGCUGAGGGAUGAGAAGGGCUUCACUAAACAGCCAGGUUGCUUCUUUCCUCUACCCUGGCACUUCCCAUUUCCCUUAGCUGGGAGAGGAGUCUGCCUUUCUGUCCACCUGUCCAUCUUCCUGGUGCCCCCAGAGCUGUCACAAGCAGGGUGAGAUGUGCAGACUUCCCCUUUACCAACAGUCAUGAAACCUGCUCAUCCCAGCAAUGAUGUGGGCAGAGGCUCUGAGGUGGUGCCUAGCCCUGGCAUGCACCAUCCUGCCCAGGAUGUGCCAGCCCAGCCUACCAGGACCCUGCUGCCACCUCAUGCCCAGGGCAGUGGCAGUGGGCAUGGCUACAGUGGAACUGGGCACGGGAGCAGAGCAAAGAUGCUGUGGGGAAGAGAGUCCUGAGGCUGUCUCAGGUGGUCCAAAGGGGAGUCACACGGGUCCCCAGGGCCCCCAGGACAUCCCCACUGCCUGUACUGUCUGCUGUGAACAUGGCAAGUGUGCAACCA